AGCCAUAUAGCCUGGUCGUAAAACAUUUAAAUAAUACAUAUAUACCUAAGAAAGUUAAAGGCCUUCCUUUUCCUAUCACAGAUUAUUGUUAAAAGUUUGUUAUAUAUUCUUAAAGAAUUUUUCACUAUUUGUAUACUUCUGAUAUCUAUAGAACUGUAUACCUGAUAGCAUCCGAUAGUUUCCGUAUCCCACCUCACCUCUAGUUAUUUAUUGACCAUCUGUGUUUCCUACCAGACUAAUGUCCACAGGACCUAGACCUGGAUCUGAGCCCAGAUGGGGAGCUCUGCCAUGGAAGCACAUCUCAUUCUCCAUAAUUACCCGAAAUCACGUCCAUGUCCCCAACCAGAAGCCCAACUUGUACCCUCCCUCCCCCAUGGAGCUUUUUCCAUUUUACAGAGAGGGGAAAAUGUAGCACUCAGUUUUGACAUUUUUGAGAGGAAAGAUUAUCAUUAUUUCCAAAGAUAAAACAACGUUCAGGGCCUGGCUUGUGAGGUUGCUUGCUGAGUAAAUUAUUCAAACAUGGAGGUUGGUUCUGGUCGGCUGCUGUGCUACCAGAACUGUGGGCCUGGCUUAACUCUUGGCUGGCUCUGCACCCCGGUGCUCAGGGCUGUGCACCAUUAGGCUCCAGGCGUUCUGGCUAGCUCAGGCCUCUGAGGUGUGGCCUGGAGGUGAGGCUCUUGAUGCAGGCCCUGCUGGGAGUCUCUCCAUGGCCAAUUGCUACAGAGUGACAUUCUGGUCCACAUGCUCAAGGCUGGGCAAGGAGCCGUGGAAUUGCCAUCAGCUCAGAGAUUCUCAGGCACGCAACCACUGGGACAGAACUGACCUCCCACAUGACUCCUUUUUAUGGUGUAAUCCUUUUUUAAAAUUUAUUUCCACUCUGCCAUAGACUUGGCUCAUUCAUUUUCAGAGGGUGCAGUUUUCUCCAGGGAUGAAGUGUGCCGAUUCUUCAAUGUAUUUUAGCUUACAAGACGUUUGUCUUCUCCCCUUCUGUUUUGAUUUUGCUUUGAGCCAGUGGCAGAUAGUAAUUCUGAUACAGAAUAGCUAAAGGCAGUCC
rnacentral:lncRNA from 1 species